rnacentral:rRNA from 1 species
AUUCCAGCUCCAAUAGCGUAUAUUAAAGUUGUUGCAGUUAAAAAGCUCGUAGUUGGAUUUCUGGUGGGGCUGUCGGCCUGGCUCCGAAAGGGGUCGUGGUUAGUACACGCCUGGCCAUCCUCGGGGGAAGCUUUGCCGGCAUUAAGUUGUCGGCGGAGUGACGCUCGUCGUUUACUGUGAACAAAUUAGAGUGUUCAAAGCAGGCUUAGGCCGUUGAAUACAUUAGCAUGGAAUAAUGAGAUAGGACUUUGGUGGUCUAUUUUGUUGGUUUGCACGCCGAAGUAAUGAUUAAUAGGGGCGGUUGGGGGUAUUCGUAUUCAAUUGUCAGAGGUGAAAUUCUUGGAUUUAUGGAAGACGAACUACUGCGAAAGCAUUUACCAAGGAUGUUUUCAUUA